AUAACUAUUCCAAACAUGUCUACCCCUGUGGAGAAAGUAAGAGCUUUUGUACAGCGCAUCUUCGACUUUGUAGGCCUAGUGAUACUGACUAAAGCGGAUCAAAGCACUAGAGAGGAAAAAAAAGAGUGUCCGUACCCGUGCUCUCUAGAGCAUCUCUUUGACGCUGGAGCGCAUCCACGAGAGCGCAAUUGCCACGACGAGGAAGCCCGCGAGCGCCACGAAGGAAUCGCUCAUCUUGAAUUCGGGCAAUCGCCAGUGUGUGACUCGGAGGGAAUUCUCGUACGCGCCGUAGAACUGGAAGAGGAUGAGGAUGAUCGCGGGGAUGAGGAUGAGCACCUCCGCGGGGAACAUCGCCCGCCCGUUGGAUCGCCUCAUUCUGGUCAUAGCCUCGUCCACCGCCGGCUGGCUGCUCAUGAACCAAGGACCCACUGCCAUGAAGAGCACCAGGAGCAAGAGCAAGAGCGGCAGCGUCGGUGAUGGCGAUUGGGACGCCGAUGAAGGCAUUGUAGCCGAGCGAGCAAGGAUUUACCCAGAUCUUGGAGCGUGAUCGGUAGAUUGUUCUAUCCGGAUCGACAAGAAGAAGUCGCGAACUAUAAGCAGAGGAGAAAGAGGAGGAAGAAGGUUAUAGCGCCAAAUAGCA
rnacentral:lncRNA from 1 species